rnacentral:sRNA from 1 species
UCCCGGGUCCAGCCCCUGUGCCUCCCUCUUCCCGCAGUGUGCCGGGCUCCUGAUGACCCUCAAGGGACUUCCCAGCACCUACAACAAAGACUUACAGGAGGACAAGGAAGCUGUGUUUGAAGUGUCAGACACUAUGAGUGCCGUGCUCCAGGUGGCCACUGGCGUCAUCUCUACGCUGCAGAAAACAAAUCCUCCAGGAACAUCUGAUGCAUGCUGAAGAUAAGGACUCUUUGAAAACAUAAAGGCCAGUAAAACAUACAGACCAAUUCACCAAGAGAACAUGGGACAGGCUCUCAGCCCCGACAUGCUGGCCACUGACCUUGCCUAUUACCUGGUCCGCAAAGGGAUGCCAUUCCGCCAGGCCCACGAGGCCUCCGGGAAAGCUGUGUUCAUGGCCGAGACCAAGGGGGUCGCCCUCAACCAGCUGUCACUGCAGGAGCUGCAGACCAUCAGCCCCCUGUUCUCGGGCGACGUGAGCUGCGUGUGGGACUACGGGCACAGUGUGGAGCAGUAUGGUGCCCUGGGCGGCACUGCGCGCUCCAGCGUCGACUGGCAGAUCCGCCAGGUGCGGGCGCUACUGCAGGCACAGCAGGCCUAGGUCCUCCCACACCUGCCCCCUAAUAAAGUGGGCGCGAGAGGA